rfam:Ktedonobacter racemifer DSM 44963 strain SOSP1-21 Krac_Contig206, whole genome shotgun sequence.
GCGAGCCGUGUGCAUGGAAAGCGUGCAAGCACGGUUCUGUGGGGGACCGUUGGAAAAGGGUCUUAUGUCGUUGUGAGUGCAACGGAUAAGGCACCUCGCUGGCGGUCUACCCUAC